rnacentral:rRNA from 1 species
UACAUGGGGUGCAAACGUUGCUCGGAAUUAUUGGGCGUAAAGCGCGCGUAGGCGGUUACUUAAGUCGGAUGUGAAAGCCCUCGGCUUAACUGAGGAGUGCACUACAAGUGGUGCUAGAGUACUAAAGAGGGUCGCGGAAUUCCCGGUGUAGAGGUGAAAUUCGUAGAUAUCGGGAGAACACCGGUGGCGAAGGCGGCGACCUGG